AGUCGAGCGCGCCUUUCGGGGUGAGCGGCGGACGGGUUAGUAACGCGUGGGAAUAUACCCUUUGGUACGGAAUAGCCUCUGGAAACGGAGAGUAAUACCGUAUGAGCCCUUCGGGGGAAAGAUUUAUCGCCAAAGGAUUAGCCCGCGUUAGAUUAGGUAGUUGGUGGGGUAAUGGCCUACCAAGCCUACGAUCUAUAGCUGGUUUUAGAGGAUGAUCAGCAACACUGGGACUGAGACACGGCCCAGACUCCUACGGGAGGCAGCAGUGGGGAAUCUUGGACAAUGGGGGCAACCCUGAUCCAGCCAUGCCGCGUGAGUGAUGAAGGCCUUAGGGUCGUAAAGCUCUUUCGCCAGGGAUGAUAAUGACAGUACCUGGUAAAGAAACCCCGGCUAACUCCGUGCCAGCAGCCGCGGUAAUACGGAGGGGGUUAGCGUUGUUCGGAAUUACUGGGCGUAAAGCGCACGUAGGCGGACUGGAAAGUUGGGGGUGAAAUCCCAGGGCUCAACCCUGGAACUGCCUCCAAAACUAUCAGUCUAGAGUUCGAGAGAGGUGAGUGGAAUUCCGAGUGUAGAGGUGAAAUUCGUAGAUAUUCGGAGGAACACCAGUGGCGAAGGCGGCUCACUGGCUCGAUACUGACGCUGAGGUGCGAAAGUGUGGGGAGCAAACAGGAUUAGAUACCCUGGUAGUCCACACCGUAAACGAUGAAUGCCAGUCGUCGGGUAGCAUGCUAUUCGGUGACACACCUAACGGAUUA
rnacentral:rRNA from 1 species